rnacentral:tRNA from 1 species
GCGCCGGUGGUGUUCCAGGCGUAGCGUCGCUGCCUGGAAAGCAGAAGAUGCGGGUUCGAGUCCCGCCUGGCGCA